AAAAGGGAACUUCCGCAACAGCAGCUGUACAAAAUAGAGCAAAGCCUAAAAGCCAAAAAAUGUGGGUUGAAUAAGCACAUAGUGGAAGUUAUCUGAAUUUGGUUAUCUUCUAAAAGGAUACCCCGACUUAGGAGGAUAAAUCUCUCGAACAGUUGCUGAGGCAAGAUUGAACAGUUAUUACCAAAAAAAAAAAAAGGGCCGGCUAGAACCUUCGACAAUUAAAUGCAAAAGUCGCUUCGGAGAAGCCAUACGUGGGGAAAACUGGCAGAGUUUCUAAACCAGAGGCUCUUUGGUAAUUUUCUGCUCCUCGCUGCAAUUCCUCUUCAUCUAGGGUUUCUCCAUAAUGGAGAUGUCAUGUACCAGAACAAGGAUAAAUGUGCAUAUGACAAAGCUCCGAAUUUUGGAACAUCCGACAAAAUUGUUUGUUCUCUUCCUAAUUUCAUUCAGACUGACAGCCCCAACUCAGACAAACAAGCAUCGGAGAAGCCAUCAGAGGAGAAGAUAACUAUCGUCGAUGAGAACCUCCAGCCUAUGAUAAGUUUGGUGAUGUCCAUGUCGAAGUCCUUAAGUCUCUUCCUAUGCAUUCUUCGUGUCACGGCCCGGCUAGGGCCAUGACGGGCACCCGGAGCUAACCACCGAGUACCACUCGUUCUAUUACUCAUUCUGCGUACAGUCGUAUUUCUUAUGCUCAUAAUGUUGUACAUAUUGGUUCCUGCUGAAAAGGUUGUUGAUUGAUCUCUUUGGAUUCCCACCAUCAAUGCUAGCAGCUGCAAUCUUUCCUGCACAAUGCACUAUUGUUGUGUCUAAGGAGUGGAAUAGAACAUGCGAGAAGCAUAGCAUCCAUGUUAAAGACCGGCUUUUUAAAGCAUAAUAUACUUUUGAGGAAUAUCAAUUUAUUGACAAAUUUUCACAGAGAUGUUUGAUUGUGUCCCUUCUUUUAGUAUAACAGGGAAUGCUCGAAAAUGAUGGUUUUAUUCAAUCAGUAGGCAGCAAUUGAGAAGCUUACUGGCCUGCACUUAAAGUAAUUUCAUUAGAGAAAUUAACAAGAAGUCAAUGAACUGAUUGUUAAAUAUUCAUAUUGUCAGGCUUUGGGAAAAUAAUUUCGCUACUGAAAGUAAUUUCAUUAGCAAAAUUAACUAAAUUCGGAUCGUAACAAAGCUGAUAGUCCUUUUUCAAUUGGAGUUAUUCUGAUGGACGAAAAGAAGCUCUUUAAUUCCUAACUACAUUGAAAAAAGACCAAAAUGAUGUUAAGCUCUUGAAGAUCCAGGGUUUAAUGACCGAUAACAAGAUGAUGGCUUCUACAAAGGCUCCUGCCGAGAGAAGUAGAAAAUAAAAUAGAGGAUAUAUAGCAGAAGUUUUUGAAGAUGUUGAACAACUAUCCAACAAGGCCAAGAAGGUGACUAAAAAGGAGAAAAAUCCCUGAAGAAUUGCAUCUGCGAGAGUUUAAUAAAGAAAACAUAGUGAAAUGCAUGUUUACUUUCUAGCAACUAGAUUUAGGUAUGAAAUUGAAGUAACUUUUAGUUUGUACUAUUAUUGAUGUCUUUAAGAAUCAUGACUGUAUUCAUUAGUUACUGGACUCCUUUUGUUAAGGAUUCUUUAAUACAACAUGUUAGUUUUUGGACGAA